UACCCCACUAUGCUUAGCCUUAAAUCUUGACACUUCCCCAACCAAAGUGUCCGCCUGAGAACUACGAGCACAAACGCUUAAAACUCUAAGGACUUGGCGGUGCCUCAAACCCACCUAGAGGAGCCUGUUCUAUAAUCGAUAACCCACGCUACACCCGGCCGCUCUUUGCAUGUUCAGCCUACAUACCGCCGUCGCCAGUCCACCUAUCUUGAAAGAACAACAGUGAACGCAAUAGCCCUAACCACGCUAAAAAGACAGGUCAAGGUAUAGCCAAUAGAGCGGAAGAAAUGGGCUACAUUUUCUAACCUAGAAAACUACGAAAGGGGUCAUGAAACCACACCCAGAAGGCGGAUUUAGCAGUAAAGUUGGACCAUAGUGCCAUCUUUAAACCGGCCCCGGGGCACGUACAUACCGCCCGUCACCCUCCUCGCAAGCUACUCACAUGAGUAAUUAACACUAAUUCCUAGCCAAAGAUGAGGUAAGUCGUAAC
rnacentral:rRNA from 1 species